AUGAGCGGCCCCUGGGCACGGUCUGAGCAAUGGGAGGGGGCAGCGAGCCUUGCCCAGGCCAAACAGGGCCGGCGAGCCUUUGUUUGUGCCUCUGCUCCUCUGUUCGCCAACAGCUCAUUAAAAACAAGGCACAAAGAAGCAGCAGAGGAACCGGACAAGCCCCCUCCGGUCUCCUCCCCGACCUGUCACGACUCCCCCUGGCUGUGUCAGGGCUUCCCGGGCAGCCCUGCCGAGGAGUCCGACUGCAGGCCGGGGCAGCAGCAGCCCAGCGGCCCUUGGCUUAAUUCUUCAAAUAACAACCUGGAGAGAGAUAAGGGCUGGCCCUGGCAACACCGAUUAUGUGCUUUCCUGCUCCUGUGGCUCACCAAGUUUGCAAGGGGUCAGCAUCCCAGGCAGAAUCCAUCUGGAAUGCGGCAGCCAGCAGCCUCCCGGUCACACCUCUGUGCCGCAGCCACGGCUGCAAGCACCUCAGCAUCUAAUGCAGGAGUGGAUGCUCUGUCUUCAUGGCAGACUGCACCACUGCAGCAGCCUGCAGCCCUGGCCCCAGUGUGGCUCUCAUCAGGCAUGCAUCCCAGCACACUGAUAAACUUUGAGGAGGCAGACGUGGAAGUAUAUGCAAGAUGCCGCUACAAGAAAAUGAGAUGGCGUUCAUGUAAAUGGCAUGCAAGGCUCAAAGUUGAAAGUCUCUGAAAAAAGUCUCAAAGCCUAGGUUGAAAAAAACUGCUGGAGAAGAACAAAAUCCUUUUUUCUGUUAAUUGCCUGGUGCAGCAUGUUUUCACUGCAUCCCCUCCUGUGAAGAGAUUUGCAUUCACAAAAAUAUCCUCACCUCCAUGCUGCAGGAAUGGAAAGCAGCAUCCUUAGGCACUUUGUAAAAAUGGCUGUGUUUUUUAUGUGAAUUCCCUUAAUAUUCACUGAAGGAAAACAAGGGAUCAAAACAAGUAUCACACUACUUACAGAGAAGGUCCUGGAGCAAAGACCUGGAUUCUGGACCAUGUGCCUGCAAAUAUGGAAGGAGCUUGUUUGCUGUUUGAUGAACAGCAUCAUCAGGAAACCUGAAAUGGCCACCUGUUAUGGAAUGGUGUCUGAGGCUUUCUAGUGACCCAAAGCCAGGCUUCCUACAGCUGAAUUUCCGUGGUAGUAGAAGUCUAACUUUGGGAAAGAGUCUGCCACAGAUAAAUGUUUUUGUUUUUCAUGAAAUAAAGAAAAAUUAUGAAUGUAUCUGACA
rnacentral:lncRNA from 1 species